rnacentral:rRNA from 1 species
UGAGGAAUAUUGGUCAAUGGGCGAGAGCCUGAACCAGCCAAGUAGCGUGCAGGAUGACGGCCCUAUGGGAUGUAAACUGCUUUUAUAUGGGAAUAAAGUGAGGGACGUGUCCCUUAUUGCAUGUACCAUAUGAAUAAGGACCGGCUAAUUCCGUGCCAGCAGCCGCGGUAAUACGGAAGGUCCAGGCGUUAUCCGGAUUUAUUGGGUUUAAAGGGAGCGUAGGCUGUUUGUUAAGCGUGUUGUGAAAUGUAAGAGCUCAACUUUUAGAUUGCAGCGCGAACUGGCAGACUUGAGUGCGCACAACGUAGGCGGAAUUCAUGGUGUAGCGGUGAAAUGCUUAGAUAUCAUGACGAACUCCGAUUGCGAAGGCAGCUUACGGGAGCGCAACUGACGCUAAAGCUCGAAGGUGCGGGUAUCGAACAGG